rnacentral:rRNA from 1 species
GGGUUGUGAGGUUAAGCGACUAAGCGUACACGGUGGAUGCCUAGGCAGUCAGAGGCGAUGAAGGGCGUGCUAAUCUGCGAUAAGCGUCGGUAAGGUGAUAUGAACCGCAACAACCGAUGAUACCCGAAUGGGGAAACCCAGUGUGAUAGGUCACACUAUCAUGUCAUGAAUACAUAGUGGCAUGAGGCGAACCGGGGGAACUGAAACAUCUAAGUACCCCGAGGAAAAGAAAUCAACCGAGAUUCCCCCAGUAGCGGCGAGCGAACGGGGAACAGCCCGGAACCUGAAUCAGUUUGUGCAUUAGUGGAAGCGUCUGGAAAGACGCAGGGUACAGGGUGAUACUCCCGUACACAAAAAUGCACUUGCUGUGAGUUCGAUGAGUAGGGCGGGACACGUGACAUCCUGUCUGAAUAUGGGGGGACCAUCCUCCAAGGCUAAAUACUCCUGACUGACCGAUAGUGAACCAGUACCGUGAGGGAAAGGCGAAAAGAACCCCGGCGAGGGGAGUGAAACAGAACCUGAAACCGUGUACGUACAAGCAGUGGGAGCACCUUCGUGGUGUGACUGCGUACCUUUUGUAUAAUGGGUCAGCGACUUAUAUUCUGUAGCAAGGUUAACCGAAUAGGGGAGCCGCAGGGAAACCGAGUCUUAACUGGGCGCUAAGUUGCAGGGUAUAGACCCGAAACCCGGUGAUCUAGCCACGGGCAGGUUGAAGGUUGGGUAACACUAACUGGAGGACCGAACCGACUAAUGUUGAAAAAUUAGCGGAUGACUUGUGGCUGGGGGUGAAAGGCCAAUCAAACCGGGAGAUAGCUGGUUCUCCCCGAAAGCUAUUUAGGUAGCGCCUCGUGAGUUCAUCUUCGGGGGUAGAGCACUGUUUUGGCUAGGGGGUCAUCCCGGCUUACCAACCCAAUGCAAACUGCGAAUACCGAAGAAUGUUAUCACGGGAGACACACGGCGGGUGCUAACGUCCGUCGUGAAGAGGGAAACAACCCAGACCGCCAGCUAAGGUCCCAAAGUCAUGGUUAAGUGGGAAACGAUGUGGGAAGGCAUAGACAGCCAGGAUGUUGGCUUAGAAGCAGCCAUCAUUUGAAGAAAGCGUAAUAGCUCACUGGUCGAGUCGGCCUGCGCGGAAGAUGUAACGGGGCUAAACCAUGCACCGAAGCUGCGGCAGCGGCGCGCAAGCGUUGUUGGGUAGGGGAGCGUUCUGUAAGCCGUCGAAGGUGAGCUGUGAGGCUUGCUGGAGGUAUCAGAAGUGCGAAUGCUGACAUAAGUAACGAUAAAGCGGGUGAAAAGCCUGCUCGCCGGAAGACCAAGGGUUCCUGUCCAACGUUAAUCGGGGCAGGGUGAGUCGACCCCUAAGGCGAGGCCGAAAGGCGUAGUCGAUGGGAAACGGGUUAAUAUUCCCGUACUCGGUGUUACUGCGAAGGGGGGACGGAGAAGGCUAUGUUAGCCGGGCGACGGUUGUCCCGGUUUAAGCAUGUAGGCGGAGAGUUUAGGUAAAUCCGGACUCUUAUCAACGCUGAGGUGUGAUGACGAGGCAUUACGGUGCUGAAGUAACAAAUGCCCUGCUUCCAGGAAAAGCCUCUAAGCAUCAGGUAACAUCGAAUCGUACCCCAAACCGACACAGGUGGUCAGGUAGAGAAUACCAAGGCGCUUGAGAGAACUCGGGUGAAGGAACUAGGCAAAAUGGUGCCGUAACUUCGGGAGAAGGCACGCUGUCGAUAGGUGAAACCCCUCGCGGGUGGGAGCUGAAGGCAGUCGAAGAUACCAGCUGGCUGCAACUGUUUAUUAAAAACACAGCACUGUGCAAACACGAAAGUGGACGUAUACGGUGUGACGCCUGCCCGGUGCCGGAAGGUUAAUUGAUGGGGUUAUCCGCAAGGAGAAGCUCUUGAUCGAAGCCCCGGUAAACGGCGGCCGUAACUAUAACGGUCCUAAGGUAGCGAAAUUCCUUGUCGGGUAAGUUCCGACCUGCACGAAUGGCGUAAUGAUGGCUAGGCUGUCUCCACCCGAGACUCAGUGAAAUUGAACUCGCUGUGAAGAUGCAGCGUACCCGCGGCAAGACGGAAAGACCCCGUGAACCUUUACUACAGCUUGACACUGAACAUUGAGCCUUGAUGUGUAGGAUAGGUGGGAGGCUUUGAAGCGUGGACGCCAGUCUGCGUGGAGCCAACCUUGAAAUACCACCCUUUAACGUUUGAUGUUCUAACCUAGCGCCGUAAUCCGGCGCGGGGACAGUGUCUGGUGGGUAGUUUGACUGGGGCGGUCUCCUCCUAAAGAGUAACGGAGGAGCACGAAGGUUAGCUAAUCACGGUCGGACAUCGUGAGGUUAGUGCAAUGGCAUAAGCUAGCUUGACUGCGAGAGUGACGGCUCAAGCAGGUGCGAAAGCAGGUCAUAGUGAUCCGGUGGUUCUGAAUGGAAGGGCCAUCGCUCAACGGAUAAAAGGUACUCCGGGGAUAACAGGCUGAUACCGCCCAAGAGUUCAUAUCGACGGCGGUGUUUGGCACCUCGAUGUCGGCUCAUCACAUCCUGGGGCUGAAGUGGGUCCCAAGGGUACGGCUGUUCGCCGUUUAAAGUGGUACGCGAGAAUGGCACUGCCCGGUAGCUAAGUGCGGAAAAGAUAAGCGCUGAAAGCAUCUAAGCGCGAAACUUGCCUCGAGAUGAAUUCUCCCUAGGUCCUUGAGACCUCUGAAGGGACGUUGAAGACUACGACGUUGAUAGGCCGGGUGUGUAAGCGCAGCGAUGCGUUGAGCUAACCGGUACUAAUGACCCGUGAGGCUUAAUCUUACAACGCCAGAAGCGUUCUG